CAUUAAUUUGCUUUGCGUCAAAUUUAACCGAAAAUAUGCUGCCACAUUUUGUUGCACGCACACGUGCUCAGAAGCCGGUAUGUGAAAAAUAUGCUCAUUGAGACAAUGCUGUACGCACGUGGUUGCAAAUCAGUUACUGCAAUGGAAAUCCCAUAGUUUUAUUGGACGACAAACUUAACUCAUGGCACAACAAGCUUGAUUGAUUUUAUGGAUUUAAUUAAGAAGCACUUGAACACUGAAUGGCAUUAUUGGCAACCGCUAAAAAUUCUGCAAAUAUGCAUACAGUAAAAUAUUCCUGUGGCACGUUAAGCUAAGGAUUUCCAAUGGCCGCUUGCAUCGGGGGGAAACAUAGAGCUUAAUAUAAAGUACCUCCAGGAAUGGAACUAUCUAGAAAAGCCUCUUACAUAGAGUCUGCGCCAAGAUUUGUAUGCCGACUCGAUGUAAAUUUUAGUGGUCUUACUCAAAGCUUCAAGCUCUGACUGCGCUUUGGCAUCGAUAUGCAGCUAUUGGAGUCAUGUUGGACUUUUCAAAAAACUGGCUAUAUCUAUUUGCAACUUUCGAUAUCCUGCUCAACUUUGAAGAGAUUACAAUUACCCGGUUGACAACUGGCUCCUUAU